UACGUAGGGGGCAAGCGUUGUCCGGAAUCAUUGGGCGUAAAGCGCGCGUAGGCGGCUUGGUCAGUCCCGUGUGAAAUCCCUCGGCUCAACUGAGGAACUGCACGGGAAACUGCCUGGCUUGAGUUCGGGAGAGGGAAGCGGAAUUCCGGGUGUAGCGGUGAAAUGCGUAGAUAUCCGGAGGAACACCGGUGGCGAAGGCGGCUUCCUGGACCGACACUGACGCUGAGGCGCGAAAGCUAGGGGAGCAAACGGG
rnacentral:rRNA from 1 species